GUGAGGAAUAUUGCGCAAUGGAGGCAACUCUGACGCAGCCAUGCUGCGUGCAGGAAGAAGGCGCUACGCGUUGUAAACUGCUUUUAACCGGGAAGAAACCCCAGGACGUGUCCUGGGUUGACGGUACCGGAGGAAUAAGCACCGGCUAACUUCGUGCCAGCAGCCGCGGUAAUACGAAGGGUGCAAGCGUUAUCCGGAUUCAUUGGGUUUAAAGGGUGCGUAGGCGGAGCGUUAAGUCAGUGGUGAAAUCCUGCAGCUUAACUGUAGACUUGCCAUUGAUACUGGCGCUCUUGAGUGCGCUUGAAGUGGGCGGAAUGUGCCGUGUAGCGGUGAAAUGCUUAGAUAUGGCACAGAACACCAAUUGCGAAGGCAGCUCACUAAGGCGAUACUGACGCUGAGGCACGAAAGCGUGGGGAUCGAACAGGAUUAGAUACCCUUGUAGUCC
rnacentral:rRNA from 1 species